AUGGCGAGUUGUCUCCCCCCUCUUGCCGUUCUUCUGCUCAUCGCGGCGGCAUCGCGUGCGGCGGCGUUCCGAAGGGGAAACACGACGGCCAUCCACAUCGGCAACACCAAGGCCUGCAUCGCCGGCUACGGGGGGCUCCAGAAUCCAGGCCACUCGUACAAGCUCUGCAUCCCCUCCUGGGUCGCCUUCACCCCCAACGCCACCCUCUUCGGCGAGGCCGCCUUGAACCACGCCGCCGUCAGCCCCGGGAUGGCCGUCUCUGGCUUCAAACGCGUCCUCGGUUCCAGGAUUUUUGAGGAUGUGGUGAAGAGAGAGAUGGAGCUAGUGCCGUACAAACUCGUUGAGACCCCGGAUGGAAGAUGCGCUAUCCAGACCCAGAGCGAGGAAGGCGGCGCCAAGGUUUUCCCCGCCGACGAAGUCGCCGGAAUUCUCAUAUCCAAGCUGAAGCGGAUGGCGGAGGCGCACCUGGGCCGCAAGAUCAGGAACGUCCUACUGACCGUCCCCUGGCACUCGAGGGACUACAAAAGGCAUCUUCUCGCAACGACCGCCCGGCUCGAGGGCGGCUUCUCCGCCGCGAGGUACGUCGACGAGCACGUCGCGGUGGCCGCGGCGCACGGCCAUCACGGGAAGGCGCGCGAAGGCAUGGUCAUCCUCGUCUUCCACAUGGGCGGCCACACGACCCACGGCGCCAUGUUCAAGUUUCGAGACGGCACGGCUCAUCUCAUUGAAGGGCGCCACGAUGUUCACCUGGGCGGCGACGACUUCACCGGCCGCCUCGUGGACCACUUCGUCCAGCUUAUCGGGGAGAAGCACCACCGGGACCUCCGCCGGGACGACGGCGCGCUUCGCGAGCUGAGGGCGGCGUGCGAGAGGGCCAAGAAGACACUGACCUACCGGGAUACCACGCUUGUGAAGGUGGAGUCGCUCUUGGACGGCGCGGAUUUCUUCCAGCCGCUCACGAGGGCCGAGUUCGAGGAGCUCAACCAUGAUCUGUUGGCGAGAGCCAUGAGCAUGGUGGACCUGCUGGUGACGUGGCGGUGGUGGCACCCUCCCGGCCGGUGGGAUAGCGUUGACGAGAUCAUCCUCGUCGGCGGUAGCGUGAGGAUCCCCAAGAUUCUUGCGUUUUUCAGGGACUACUUCCUUGGCCGAGAGCCAAUUGUGGAGGAGGAAGCGGCGAUUCGCGGCGCUGCUCUGCUCUCCCGUCCCGAGUAUGCAAUGUUCACAUAUGACAACUGUGAUAGUUACUACUGCCGUGGAAGUCCUUUGCAGGCGUCUGAAAAUAAAAUUGAAUAG
rnacentral:rRNA from 1 species